GGGGCUGUAGCUCAUCUGGGAGAGCGCAUCGUUCGCAACGAUGAGGCAGCGAGUUCGAUCCUCGUCAGCUCCACCA
rnacentral:tRNA from 1 species